GGAGCCGCUCGGGCGAACGCGUCGGCUUGUAGGGCUGGAGCCGCCGAGGAAAGUCCGAGCACCACAGAGCAGGGUGCCGGUCAACGACCGGUCGGGGCGACCCGCAGGAAAGUGCCACAGAGAUCAGACCGCCGAACGGCGUCGAAAGGCGUGCGUGGCAAGGGUGAAACGGUGCGGUAAGAGCGCACCGCGCGCCGGGUAACCGGCGCGGCACGGCAAACCCCACCCGGUGCAAGAGCGAAUAGGGAGGCGAUCGUCCCCACCGCAAGGCGAGGACGGCAAGACCGGCUCGGUCNNNNNNNNNNNNNAAGCUCGCUGGAGGCGCGUGGCAACACGCGCACGAGAGGAAUGUUCGCCACCGUGCCUCUGCGGAGCCACGGGACAGAACUCGGCUUACAGGGCGGCUCCGGCA
rnacentral:RNase_P_RNA from 2 species